ACGGAGUGUGCCGAAAAUCCGAUCAUAGAGUAGGCA
ncrna:unclassified sequences DTF805b RNA